UAGGUUUGUUGAUGUGUUGCUAGCUGACAACAGGGUGGUAGGUUUGUUGAUGUGUUGCUAGCUGAAAACAGGGUGGUAGGUUUGUUGAUGUGUUGCUAGCUGAAAACAGGGUGGUAGGUUUGUUGAUGUGUUGCUAGCUGACAACAGGGUGGUAGGUUUGUUGAUGUGUUGCUAGCUGAAAACAGGGUGGUAGGUUUGUUGAUGUGUUGCUAGCUGAAAACAGGGUGGUAGGUUUGUUGAUGUGUUGCUAGCUGACAACAGGGUGGUAGGUUUGUUGAUGUGUUGCUAGCUGAAAACAGGGUGGUAGGUUUGUUGAUGUGUUGCUAGCUGAAAACAGGGUGGUAGGUUUGUUGAUGUGUUGCUAGCUGAAAACAGGGUGGUAGGUUUGUUGAUGUGUUGCUAGCUGACAACAGGGUGGUAGGUUUGUUGAUGUGUUGCUAGCUGAAAACAGGGUGGUAGGUUUGUUGAUGUGUUGCUAGCUGACAACAGGGUGGUAGGUUUGUUGAUGUGUUGCUAGCUGAAAACAGGGUGGUAGGUUUGUUGAUGUGUUGCUAGCUGACAACAGGGUGGUAGGUUUGUUGAUGUGUAUUAUCAAAAAUAUAAUGUUAUUUGUCAUGCGUCAAAUACAUCAGGCGUAAACGUCACAGUGAAAUGCUUACU